rnacentral:rRNA from 1 species
UACGUAGGGAGCAAGCGUUGUUCGGAUUUACUGGGCGUAAAGGGCGCGUAGGCGGCAGAUCAAGUCAGCUGUGAAAUCUCCGAGCUUAACUCGGAACUGUCAGCUGAUACUGUUUUGCUAGAGUGCGGAAGGGGCAAUCGGAAUUCUUGGUGUAGCGGUGAAAUGCGCAGAUAUCAGGAGGAACACCGGUGGCGAAGGCGGGUCUCUGGGCCGAUACUGACGCUGAGGAGCGAAAGCGUGGGGAGCGAACAGG